ACCCAUCUGACGAGUCCCAAAUAGGACGAAACGCGUGUCCUGGAU
rnacentral:hammerhead_ribozyme from 1 species